rnacentral:rRNA from 1 species
GACGAACGCUGGCGGCGUGCUUAACACAUGCAAGUCGUACGGUAAGGCCCUUUCGGGGGUACACGAGUGGCGAACGGGUGAGUAACACGUGAGUAACCUGCCCACAACUUUGGGAUAACGCUAGGAAACUGGGGCUAAUACUGGAUAUGUGCUCCUGCUGCAUGGUGGGGGUUGGAAAGCUCCGGCGGUUGUGGAUGGACUCGCGGCCUAUCAGCUUGUUGGUGGGGUAGUGGCCUACCAAGGCGGCGACGGGUAGCCGGCCUGAGAGGGUGACCGGCCACAUUGGGACUGAGAUACGGCCCAGACUCCUACGGGAGGCAGCAGUGGGGAAUAUUGCACAAUGGGCGCAAGCCUGAUGCAGCAACGCCGCGUGCGGGAUGACGGCCUUCGGGUUGUAAACCGCUUUCAGCAGGGAUGAAGCUUUUUGUGACGGUACCUGCAGAAGAAGCACCGGCUAACUACGUG